rnacentral:rRNA from 1 species
UGGUUUACCAGACCCGGAAGGCGCGGGCCUUAGUGGCGGACGGGUGAGUAACGCGUGGGGAACCUGCCCCGUACCGGGGGAUAACACCUGGAAACAGGUGCUAAUACCGCAUAACAGAAGGGGACGCAUGUUUCUUUCUUGAAAACUCCGGUGGUACGGGAUGGACCCGCGUCUGAUUAGCUGGUUGGCGGGGUAACGGCCCACCAAGGCGACGAUCAGUAGCCGGCCUGAGAGGGUGACCGGCCACAUUGGGACUGAGACACGGCCCAAACUCCUACGGAAGGCAGCAG